AAAAAGACAAAACCUGGUUUCCGUGUUAAACGUUUGACCGUCCGUUUUAUUUGAAAAAAAUUAUGAAAAAAAAUUUAAAAAGACAAGUCACGCAUAAAAUAUUAAUCAUGUUUUAUCAUCCAACAACAAUAAAAAUACGAAUUAUAAAAAAAAUUUAUAUAAGAUGGACAAUUAAAGUUGGACACGGAAAUAUAAGGUUUGCCUUUUU
rfam:Oryza nivara chromosome 1, whole genome shotgun sequence.